GGUAGAACUCAGUGGUAGAGUGUGUGCUUAGCAUGCACAAAGUCCUGGGUUCGAUCCCAAGCACCA
rnacentral:tRNA from 1 species